CAGUCGCCACGGGAAUACGUAGGGUGCAAGCGUUAAUCGGAAUUACUGGGCGUAAAGCGUGCGCAGGCGGUUAUAUAAGACAGAUGUGAAAUCCCCGGGCUCAACCUGGGAACUGCAUUUGUGACUGUAUAGCUAGAGUACGGCAGAGGGGGAUGGAAUUCCGCGUGUAGCAGUGAAAUGCGUAGAUAUGCGGAGGAACACCGAUGGCGAAGGCAAUCCCCUGGGCCUGUACUGACGCUCAUGCACGAAAGCGUGGGGAGCAAACAGGAUUAGAUACCCGAGUAGUCCCUGUCUCUUAUAC
rnacentral:rRNA from 1 species